rnacentral:lncRNA from 12 species
GGGGGUGGAGACUGGGCGCUCCUGCCGGAUUAUUUUCGGGGCGGCGGUGUUUUGGGGGGAGUUGAGGCCUCCCACCGAGGUGCCUUGCUGGGUGCUGCACCUACGCUCAUGCCAGGUGCCGCCGCCCGUGGAGCAGGUGCAGGCGCAUCUCCGCCGCGCUCAUCCUCGUGCCCGCCCGCCCGGAGGGUCAGGCCAGGGACCUCCCGGCCCGCGGUCGCGGCACAUCCUUCCUUCCCCGCGCCGACCGGGGCGGUUUCUUUCACGUCGCUUGCUCGGGAAAGGGACCGCAGGUGUUCGCUCCCGCUCCCUCCGAGGCAGGCGCAGAUUCCCGGGCCACGAGGCGGGCGACUCGGCUCCGUGGUCCCCGCCCCUUUGGCCUGCUCCAGGGGUACGUUGGCAUGCCUGGUGGCUCAGCUGGUCAAAGGAGGGCUCUUGGUGUCCGCUCACGGGUCCUGAGAUGGAGCCUCACAACCUGUCUUAGCGGUCCCUGCUCAGCGGGGAGCCUGCUGGAAGCUUCUCUCCCUCUGCCCCCACCCUAUUCAAGACCAACGGAAUCAGAAACACCUGGCUCCGGCUUGUUGGCAGAAAAUGCAUGGCUCCACAGGAAGCUUGGGAAGGAAUCCUGCUCUGUGGGAAGGCUAGGUGGGGCAGGAGAAGAAGAGGAAACACAUCUGCUUGGCCUUUUCUUUACAGAAGGCACAAGAGCAAGUACUCCAAUUCCUGAGCCUGCGGGCCCCUCUGACAGACUUUCCGUUUUACUACGAGCUCCCCCAUGUGGUGACUUCUGAGAAAACCUGGACUCGGCUCUCCUGAAUCCUUUCUGGGUGUGGAAGGUAGUGAGGAAUGGUGCGCGGGAUCUACUGGAGAACAGGCCCAACCAUAUCAAAGUCCUACUGUUCCUGAUUCCAGUUAGCCCUUUAACUGCCUUUAAUUUCUUAUCCAGAAAAAACUAGUAAUGGGGGAAUGACUGGAACCGAUGCAGGCUCUCUGGUGUAAAUACUGAAUACACACCCUCCCCUGCCCUGCCCCACUCCUCCCCGCAGGUAGCUGUCUUUUGCGCCCCUGUCCUCUUCCCCUUGAACUGUGGGCAUUGCUCAGGUUGGUACUUAUUCUACAGAACUCCUCGUGUUGGGCACUGGCAAACAGUUGGGGUUCUGUAUUACAGGACUUCUCAGGGCCUUUACAGUACAAAUGGGCAUUGUGAAGUUUCAAAGAAAUAGCUACCACGUGCAGAAUAGCCUAACUCUUACACAUACAACCUCACUUACAAGGGAGGUGUUCUGUGGAUCACAUUCUGGGAAGACUGAUCUAGUUGCAGCUGGCAAAGAGCUGGCGGUAGUUAGCAGUUAUCAGUGAAGAAUGCUCGGAAUCUGAAGUUUAGGAAUAUAGUUUGUAUGGUCUCCUUGCUGACUAAAUGGGCAAAAUCUUCCCCUUCUUCCUACUAGGCUGAAUUUGGAAGUCUUUGGUCCUGAAUACUUCUUUUUCAUCUCUGGUUUUCUGCUGGGCUUUAAAUGGACAAAUGCAUAUAAAACAGGGAUCUGGGCAGCCCCAGUGGCCCAGCAGUUAGUUUAGCGCCUUCCUUCAGCCCAGGGUGUGAUCCUGGAGUCCUGGGAUCGAGUCUGACGUCGGGCUCCCUGCGUGGAGCCUGCUUCUCCCUCUGCCUCUCUAUCUCUCUGUGCCUCUCAUGAGUAAAUAAAUAAAAUCUUAAAAAAAAAAAAAAACA